CCUACGGGUUGCAGCAGUGGGGAAUAUUGCACAAUGGGCGCAAGCCUGAUGCAGCCAUGCCGCGUGUAUGAAGAAGGCCUUAGGGUUGUAAAGUACUUUCAGUUGGGAGGAAGGCGUUGAUGCUGAUAUCAUCAACGAUUGACGUUACCAACAGAAGAAGCACCGGCUAACUCCGUGCCAGCAGCCGCGGUAAUACGGAGGGCGCAAGCGUUAAUCGGAAUUACUGGGCGUAAAGCGCACGCAGGCGGUUGGUUAAGUUAGAUGUGAAAUCCCCGGGCUUAACCUGGGAAUGGCAUCUAAGACUGGUCAGCUAGAGUCUUGUAGAGGGGGGGUAGAAUUCCAUGUGUAGCGGUGAAAUGCGUAGAGAUGUGGAGGAAUACCGGUGGCGAAGGCGGCCCCCUGGACAAAGACUGACGCUCAGGUGCGCAAGCGUGGGGAGCAAACAGGAUUAGAUACCCCAGUAGUC
rnacentral:rRNA from 1 species